rnacentral:rRNA from 1 species
GACGAACGCUGGCGGCGUGCUUAACACAUGCAAGUCGAACGGAAAGGCCUGCUUUCCCUUGUGGAUUGCGGGUACUCGAGUGGCGAACGGGUGAGUAACACGUGAGUGAUCUGCCCCCAACUUGGGUAUAAGCCUGGGAAACUGGGUCUAAUUCCCGAUAGGACUGCAGGGUGGUGCCUGUGGUGGAAAACGAUUUUCUAGUGGUUGGGGAUGAGCUCGCGGCCUAUCAGCUUGUUGGUGGGGUAAUGGCCUACCAAGGCGGCGACGGGUAGCCGGCCUGAGAGGGUGGACGGCCACAUUGGGACUGAGAUACGGCCCAGACGGCUACGGGAGGCAGCAGUGGGGAAUAUUGGACAAUGGGCGGAAGCCUGAUGCAGCGACGCCGCGUGGGGGAUGACGGGCUUCGGGUUGUAAACUCCUUUCGACCGCGAGGAAGCCACGUGGUUGGAAGGGUGGUGACGGUAGUGGUAGAAGAAGCACCGGCUAACUACGUG